UACGGGGGGAGCGAGCGUUGUUCGGAUUUAUUGGGCGUAAAGGGCGUACAGGCGGUGGUGUAAGUCAGGUGUGAAAUACCUCGGCUCAACCGAGGGUCUGCAUUUGAUACUGCAUUACUUGAGUACAGGAGAGGAGAGCGGAAUUCCAGGUGUAGCGGUGGAAUGUGUAGAUAUCUGGAAGAACACCAGUGGCGAAGGCGGCUCUCUGGCCUGAUACUGACGCUGACGCGCGAAAGCUAGGGGAGCAAACAGG
rnacentral:misc_RNA from 1 species